GUGGGUGUAGCUCAGCUGGUUAGAGCACCAGGUUGUGGCCCUGGGGGUCAUGGGUUCGAGUCCCUUCACCCACCCCA
rnacentral:tRNA from 1 species